rnacentral:lncRNA from 1 species
AUCUAUGUGGCCAUGGCGGGCCGAAGCUGCUGGCAUAGUAGCCCAACCGCACACGCCGCAACCUCCGUCCCAUCCCGCAUGACGCCCGGCUGUCAUGCUCCCUUAGCAGGCCGAGCCCUCUUCAUCCUCCCUCGCAGCGCUGUGAUCCCGCCGCUGCUUGCGUCUAUCGUCCCCGCCCUGCCGCCUGAACCCUAACCCCGCAGGCAGCUGAGAGAUGGAGAAGGGGCUGCCGGGGUCGUCGUCGCUCGACCACGCUUGCUGCGGCAAUCCCGCGUCUCUCCGGUGUAGCAGAAUUAUUUAUUAUUUAAUCUAUACUUGCAUAAAUGUGAAACUCAGGCAAGCUAUUCUGUUCAGGUUGUUUGCUAACAGUCCCGUAUUUUCAGAUGUCACACGUGUGCAUAACUGAAGCUCCCCGGUGAAGCUGCUGCUUUCUGGUCAGUCGCAAGACUCCUAUUUCUUCCCACAAUUUGUACUGUAAUGACCUCGAUGAAAUUUUUGAUGUGUUCUAUAAAUGCUGCUCAUUUCACAACUUCUCCCUCGGUUUUUAAAUAUAAGACCUUUUAGAUUUAGGAACGGAGGAAGUAGAUUGGUCUUGAUAGCUAGUUGAGAUGAAUUAUACUUUUGUUAGAUUGCCAGUUAUCUUAGUUAAACCUUCUACUCCCUCCGUUUCUAAAUUGAAGACUGUUUAGAAAGUUCAAUCCAGGCUACGUAUGGAUGUAUAUAGACGGAGUGUAGAUUGACUCAUUUUAUUCCGUUUGUAGCCUAUAAUGAAAUUUCUAAAAAAACCUUAUAUUUAGAAACGAAGGGAGUAGAUGUUUGUUCUAUGCAGCAUCAUCUAUGAAAUCACUACUAAGCAUACCGCGCUGAGUUCCAUUACAAGGUUCGUGUGUUGCCACCACGCCUCAGCUCUUCCGGCGUCACCCUGGGGAGCGGAGGCAGCGAGAGAAACUGACCAUGUAUAUUAUUUUUCUUCUGCCCGAGUAGUGAAUAGAAAAACCUCCGAGUGCACAAACCGUAUGAAAGCUUUCAUGUUGUUGUAAAUAGAUCUUCCCUGUGAUUUUCUUCUUCUUUCCGUUUCUCUUCUAUAUAGCAAGGGAGAGAAGGAUGUCGUGAACAACAGAGCCCAAGUUCAGGGCCACCGAGAUCCAGGCUUACCUGAAAAAGUUGCCGAACAUGCCACAUGCCACAUGCCUCGUCCCACAUCACCUGCUUGUCGUUAUUCUACGCCAUGUAGAGAACUUCUCGAGAAGCCGCUCUGGCCGCUAGGAUCUGGUACAUGAGCACUAUUUUUUUACAAAAGGAGGAUGACCCCGUCUCUGCAUCUGGAAGAUGCAUGCGACUAUUUUAUUAAUUAUUUUCGAGGACCUUACAAAGUAGUACAACAAUAUGCUUGAAUACGCCAUCUUGGCAACAUUUGCCGCUACUUCUAUCUAUAUGAUGAAGGGGUACAAGCUGAGCCAGAUAACCAGACCUCUCAUCUAAGCCUAACAUCUAAAUCCGGAGGCCUCGACCGAGCCACGUACCGGGUCAGGGACACAAACCGGUCUGACGCAUUCAUAUGUAUCGCUGCUACCAUCUUCCAUCGGUUCAUCUUCAGUGCAGGUUGAGGUAGCAGCCUUAACAGAUGCCUCCGGUACAUGAGCACUUGCAUCUAUACAUCUAUCUUGCCCUUCUAUUAUUCUUUUCGAGUUAAUUAGCAUGAAUAAAUGGCCAACUGAUUCCGUUAUUAUGCAAGUAGGCCCAAGGCAGCCUUAUGUACCAAGCAAGAAAGCUAGGAUCUGGUGGAAGAAGUUGUUCGAGCAUGGAAAAAUCAAUACCAAUAGUGACAAGUCAUAUUAUGUAUGGGGCAAACGUUUUUUUUCUAUAGCUUAAUUUCUAUACUCUAUGUGCAAACACCAACUAUCUUAGGACCUGUUCUUUUGGUAGCUUUUAGAAUAAGCUGAAAUAAGCUGCCUCUACCCAGCUUAUUCUAGAAGCUUAAUCAAAUUUAUCUUUUAAUGUUAGGAAUAAGCAACUUGUAUUCCCAUGAGGCCAUAGGCCGGUAUAUAUACAUGUACAGAUGAUGGACUAUAUGCAAG